CCUUACUCUUGAAUUUGUUACAAAAUUUUAUAGUGAAAAUGCUCUCGUUCUGACUAGAGUCCUAGUUUUGUUUCACUUUUUGCGUAGGUAUGAACUUUGUUGAGUGAGGGUGUUUAAUUUUUAAAUAAAAUUUUUAAAAUAUUUUGUACUUAUUAAAAUUUUUUCAUCAAUUUUUUUUAAAAAAAAAUCUUUCAGUGAGUUCAUCUUAGGCCCCCAAAUGCGUUGGGUUGCCCCUACUGGAAAGUUUCGUUUCCCCUUCUCCUUUUCCUUCCCCUGCGGGUCUAAGGGGGUGGCGGUCAUGGUGGCUCGGUCCCCAAUCGACGACGGCCGGAGCCUCGGCCAAACCGACGGCAGGUGGUGGCAGGAUAGCAGUAAAAGGACACCGAAACAUGGCACCCUUGUUUCAACAACUUUCCGGUGAUUCGCCGGCUUCAAUCAUGGCGAACGAAGGCUAAAACAUGGCUAGAAGAAAGAGAAGAAGAUGGAGGAUCCUUACCUCGGUCUGGCGAGACGUUGACCUUUUUCAGUGGAAAUCGGAGGAAGAACUCGGAAAGAAAACUCAAAAUUUGAGUGUUUUCUUGCCCGUUCUUCGAUGGAACUCAAAGAAAGAGGAUGUGGGAUCUUAAAUAGGCCGAGAUCUCUUGUUUUCCGGUGUUUGGAUCACCCUGAAGCACUAGGUUUCAUGCUUGAUCGGGAUCGGAUGAGGGGAGGAAAGAGACUCCCAGCCGAAGUUUUCUCCUCUCUCAUGUGCCACACAUGCGAUUUUUGAGCCUGGCCUCUUUGGGCCGGCGUAAUCACGAUCGGAUGAGGGAAGGAAGGAGACACCCAGUCGAAGUCUUCCUCCUCCUCUCUCACUUCACUUGCUGCGCAUAUGAGUCUUGGGCCUGUGCUCCUGGCCCGGGCCAAUAGCUUUUGGGCUGCUACAGAAUAUACUGAUGUGUAGGAUCGUAAGUAUGAUUUCUAACAUCCCAAGUUUUCUGUAAGUAUGUACAAUAGGAACUCCAGUGAUGGCUGGCUAGCUCCACGCUGCCGUUCGGCUUCGCUACAAAAUGUGCGAUCUACGUCAUCCAACUAUUCUUCUGAGAAUAUACAUCAUGAGGUACGAUUUUUUUUUCUUCUUUCCACCUUUGAUGUUUAAGGCCAGUGAGUACCGGGAAAUUGCUCAUCUUUUAUUAUUCUUCGUAAGUUUCCUUAUGUGCAGUACUUUCCAAGGCUGACCGAACUUUAAUUUUUCUUUAGAAAAUAGAAAAUAUAAAAUAUAAAAUAAAAAAAAAAACCUUCAGGUCUAAGUGUGGCCCAAAGUCUGAAAAAAACUUUCAGACCGACUGCAGAUAGAGGCAUGACCCGGCACAGCCUCCUUGUCAAUGUGGGUGCUAACGAAGGGAGAGAUCUCGUUGGGGAAAGAAGGGCAGAGAAAUGAGGAGAGGGUGGUGUUGAAGGGGAAGCCCUCAAAGUUUGAAAGGAUCCCAGGAGUCGAAGCUCCAUU
rnacentral:lncRNA from 1 species